AAUGAGGUGGAUGAUACUGAUUACAUUAAAGGUCCCAAUUCUUCACCUCCCCUUGAAUCCAUGUCCUUUACCAUGUAAAUCUGAAAUUCCCUUUCACACUGAUGUGAAUCCAUCAUGAGGCUGGUUUGGCCAAUAAGAUGCUUAUUUGAGUAAGAUUUGCAAACUGACCUUGCUUUCUCUUGUGCUUCUACAAUUGCCAUGAGAACAUUUGUGGGCUGGCCUACUGUAUGAGAAGCAUGUGAAGAGCUGAGUAGCCCCAGGAACUCCAGCAAGAGCAAUCUUACACCAGCCAAAAGCCCAACACCAGACAUAUGAGUGAACCCAGCUGAGACAAAAACUAUUCAAUUAAGUCCAGCCUAAAUCACCAACAGACUAAAUAAAUGCUUAGUGUUUUAAGCUACUGGUUUGUGGGGGUGAUUUGGUAUGAGACAUUAUGGUGGCAACAGAUAGCCAUUAGAUUAUUUCAGUACAAUAUGAUUAUUUCAAAAGAUAUUUUGCCUAUCCUGGUCGUAAUCAAAGCUUCCCCUUUAUGUCACCAUCUCUCUAGUCCCUGAGUCUCCCACCCUCCUAUUUGUAGGAUUUACAUGCCCCUGGGCCAGCAGACAGAAUAGAUCAGACCCGAACAGAUUUUUCCUAUGGACCUUUCUUCCACAUGCUUGAGAAGAGAAGAUUCCAGGUAACUGGUGAUAUUCAACAUUUUGUAAUGAGACCAGUAAGCAGUGACUCAAUUUCCUUACAGCUGGAACUGGUGACUGAAGGUGUCCAAUGCAGAAACAGUUAAGGUUUUAUAGUCUAGCCCCUCAAUUUGAGAAAAUUAAUGCUGAAAGUAUGUAUCUGAAUCUUUCUCUUACACUAACCAGCAGCUUCCCAGAAAAAUGGUUGUGUUUUUGCAGGACAUGUUUCUGAUUGGUCUCAUGUCUGUGCUGGGGGCGCUCCGGGGGAAAAGGCAGAACCCAUCAGAGAAGUCCUUGAGAUACAAAUGGAGGGAUCUGCUUCUAGAGGCCAUUCCCAUAGCUCCUUCUUCCAUCUGCAAAGUCAGCAAAGUUGGAUCUCUCUGACCAUUCUUCAGUCAUCACAUCUCUUUCUCUGGCCACAGUCUGAGCAGUUCUCUGAUUGUAAGGGCCCAUGUGAUUAGAUUGGGACUACUCAGACAAUCCAAGUUAACUCUCCAUCUCAAGGACCUUAACCUAAUCACUCCUGCAAGACUUUUUUUUGCCAUGUAAGGUAACAUAGUCACAGAUUCCAAAAAUUAGGAUGUGGAUAUUUUGGAAAGUAAUUAUUCUGUCUACCACAGAAGAGUUUUUGAAAUAUUUUACAGUUUUCACUUUCAGGUGUGUUUUUCUCAUUUGCCUAAAUCUCAUGACAAUUUUCUAGUAUUUCAUCCAGUGAUCAUUUU
rnacentral:lncRNA from 1 species